UCAAGUGACUAAGCGUGCACGGUGGAUGCCUUGGCAUCUGGAGGCGAUGAAAGACGUAGUAGCCUGCGAUAAGCUUCGGUGAGGUGGCAAACAACCUUUGACCCGGAGAUCUCUGAAUGGGGAAACCCACCUGUCAUCAGGCAGGUAUCCUUAACUGAAUACAUAGGUUAAGGAGGCGAACCGGGAGAACUGAAACAUCUAAGUACCCCGAGGAAAAGAAAUCAACCGAGAUUCCCUUAGUAGUGGCGAGCGAACGGGGACCAGCCCUUAAGUUGUAUUGAGAUUAGCGGAACGCUCUGGAAAGUGCGGCCAUAGUGGGUGAUAGCCCUGUACGCGAAAGUCUCUUUGCAAUGAAAUCGAGUAGGACGGAGCACGAGAAACUUUGUCUGAAUAUGGGGGGACCAUCCUCCAAGGCUAAAUACUCCUGACUGACCGAUAGUGAACCAGUACCGUGAGGGAAAGGCGAAAAGAACCCCGGAGAGGGGAGUGAAAUAGAUCCUGAAACCGUAUGCGUACAAGCAGUGGGAGCCCACUUUGUUGGGUGACUGCGUACCUUUUGUAUAAUGGGUCAGCGACUUAUUUUCAGUGGCGAGCUUAACCGAAUAGGGGAGGCGUAGCGAAAGCGAGUGUUAAUAGCGCGUUUAGUCGCUGGGAAUAGACCCGAAACCGGGCGAUCUAUCCAUGAGCAGGUUGAAGGUUGAGUAACAUCAACUGGAGGACCGAACCCACUGUCUUUGAAAAGCCAGGGGAUGACUUGUGGAUAGGAGUGAAAGGCUAAUCAAGCCCGGAGAUAGCUGGUUCUCCUCGAAAACUAUUUAGGUAGUGCCUCGUGUCUAACCAUGGGGGGUAGAGCACUGUUAAGGCUAGGGGGUCAUCCCGACUUACCAAACCGAUGCAAACUCCGAAUACCUACAAGUGCCGAGCAUGGGAGACACACGGCGGGUGCUAACGUCCGUCGUGGAAAGGGAAACAACCCAGACCGUCAGCUAAGGUCCCAAAGUCAUGGUUAAGUGGGAAACGAUGUGGGAAGGCAUAGACAGCUAGGAGGUUGGCUUAGAAGCAGCCACCCUUUAAAGAAAGCGUAAUAGCUCACUAGUCGAGUCGGCCUGCGCGGAAGAUGUAACGGGGCUCAAACCAUGCACCGAAGCUACGGGUAUCAUCUUUUGAUGAUGCGGUAGAGGAGCGUUCUGUAAGCCUGUGAAGGUGAGUUGAGAAGCUUGCUGGAGGUAUCAGAAGUGCGAAUGCUGACAUGAGUAACGAUAAAGGGAGUGAAAAACUCCCUCGCCGGAAACCCAAGGGUUCCUGUCCAACGUUAAUCGGGGCAGGGUUAGUCGGCCCCUAAGGCGAGGCUGAAAAGCGUAGUCGAUGGAAAACAGGUUAAUAUUCCUGUACUUGUUUGUAGUGCGAUGGGGAGACGGAGAAGGCUAGGCCAGCACGGCGUUGGUUGUCCGUGUUUAAGCUAGUAGGCAGAGAUCUUAGGCAAAUCCGGGAUCUUAAUGCCGAGAGGUGAUGACGGUGACUCUACGGAGUCCGAAGUGGUCGAUGCCAUGCUUCCAGGAAAAUCCUCUAAGCUUCAGCUACAAAGAAACCGUACUCUAAACCGACACAGGUGGGUAGGUAGAGAAUACCAAGGCGCUUGAGAGAACUCGGGUGAAGGAACUAGGCAAAAUGGCACCGUAACUUCGGGAGAAGGUGCGCCGGUGAGGGU
rnacentral:rRNA from 1 species